CACAUUUCCAGUCAUGUGCCUCCAAACCCGGAAGUUGUCCUCCUGCCUUGCUUGUGCUCACCUGUCAGGUUGCAUCUGCAAACAUCCUCUGCCUCAACUACAGAUGUCCCGACCUUCGCCUGAAAAGUUACGAGGGGAGGAGAGCCGAGUUGGAGGAGGAAGAGGAGCGUGAGAGUAAAAGAACGGACGUCCAGACUUAUUCUGAAGGGACUUUUAAAGGAAACGGCUUCGGCAUUGAGAAGAACAGGUCGGAUUUCCUCGCCAACACCACCUCAGAAACCAACAGCUUGCCCUGCCUCCAGAGGACAUCACCAUAAGAUCGUCUUCAAGCCAUGAAACAGUGCAGCGCUGCAGGACCUCUGUGACAGCCUGGAGGUGUGGAGGAUAGAGGCAUGGCUGCAGCCACGCCAUGGCUGGCAGAGAGGCCUCUCGUCUGGGCCUCAGCUCCCCGCCAGACCCCCUCUUAUACCCCUGGAGCUCAAACAUGCACCUUCACAUAAAUGCACAUACACAUUAGGGGUGCACACAUACCAUGUCUCACACAUACCAGGCUCUUACCCUGCAGCUAUGGGCCCCUAAACAUACAGGUAACUAUGGGCAUAUAGUGGGUACCAGCUGGUUUCAAUGUGUGAGGAGCAACAGGGUCGGUCUUAACGAGUUUGUUCAUGUCUUCUUCCAUCUUUCAUUAACACACCUUCCUUCCUUCUCUCUUGAACCAAAUGGUUAAAUAGUAUAUGCACAUAGAUUUAAUGGUUUGUUGUAACCUGCUGAGAUGCCAGAUGGGCAGGAUUUGCUGUGGAGGACUUUUACAGAAAAGACGCUGAAGCUGUGAUCUGGAACAUUUUCAUGUAUUUUGAUCGAUUCCAUCUUUUCUUAAGGUGCUGUGAUGAAUAUUGUUAUGAUAAUAAUGGAUCAAGUAACUGUGCGUUUGGGAAAGUGAUCUUUGUAGUGAUGAACCAGCAGAAAAGUAUCACCUGACUCUGCAGUUUCCUUCAGCUUUGUGGAAUAUUGUUUCAGAUCAUUAUUUCAGUUUUUCCGGCACAUAAUGUUACCGUUUUGGUUCACUGUCACCGCUCUCUCAACCAUUAACACCAAAGAUCAAAUUUAAUAAAUCAAACCAGUGAGUUUACAAACUCUCUCUCUCUAUGCUGUACACUUAUA